AUUUUCAUAUCAUAGACCUGAGAAUGGAAUAUCCCCCGCCCCUGAUGUCAUGUGAAAGUCAAGAUGCUGAAUGCUGGGAUACAGGGUGCUCAUUGCUGAAAUAGAGGGUGCUGAGUGCUGGGGUACAGCAAGAUCAACAGGGCAGACAUACUGGUCAAGCCAUAUGGACUCUGGACUCUGGGUUCCAUGUCUUCAUCAUAGAGCAGAGCUGAUGUUCAGCUCCAACAACCAACCAUCUUUAUGAGACUGAGUUGGUGACAUCCCGCCAUGUCUUUCAAUAUCUUGUUGGUUCUUCCUGCCAAGUUGGCAUCCUCCCCUUCAAGUCUUCCUCACCUUUGACUUGUCCCCAGAGUAACAAUCUUCAGUGCUCUCGGUCACUUGAUGGAAACAUUAAGCACAAGAUUCCCCACUCUCUUCAGAGGCUGCUGGGUCCUUCAUUAUUUACAAUGCUUAUCCAAAUCCGGCCUCUCAAUGGAACUCUAGCUCCACUGGAUGCGAUGCAUAUCACACUGGCUAUGCAGGGAAAAGACUGGCUACGAUGUGGCUGUGUUCUGCAGGUGCUUACAUAAUACCUUCAUGUGACGCGUGUGAUGAAAGAAGAGCGGACAGACACAAGACAGCAACGAGCUGAGUUUUCUGCGGGUCUUAUUGGAGAGGCAUCAUUUGGACCAGGCCCUAAUGGGUAGGAGGAAUCUGCACAGGAAACGGAUCAGAGAAGAAAAGCAGCGAGUGAGUGGAGAGAGGAAGUGAGGGAGCUGGCUGUCUGAAAAGAAUGCACACAAACUGUGCUGUGCAGAAGAAGCAUGUGUCAUGGGGAUUGCCCAAGGGCAGAGCCAGCUGGUCUAGCGCAGGUUCAGGAUGGGAUUCACCCGCUCAUUUGAAUCUUCUCUGAGCUCUUUGGAAGUGUUACUUUGAUGAACUCAUAAGUUUUUAGAAAUGGAUGUGGAACAUGUGCCAACAAGCCAUGAAUCACAGGUACUUCAGGGAUGCUUAGGUGGAAGGGACAGUUUCUGAACGACAGUUAUUGAGGCAUCUAUGAGUAUUGACUCUUACCUUGUUUGUGAAGUGUGUUAUCAUGGUGCCCCCCACGUCAGCCUUCAUAUAGCAGUGCUGUUCAAGAAGUCAUGAGGCUGAUAGGUUACUUGUGCAGAGCUGCUUCCUGGCUUAUGGUUGGGUUAUGACACUAUAAAAUCAUGAGUUGAAGAUACAUUUAUAUGCCCAACUUACUAAGCACUAUAGCUCCACAAUACUGCACUGUGGAACUCCCAAGUUUUCUCUUGUGAACUUGAAGCUGACUGGGGGCUGUGGAUUGCUGCCAAUGUUCUGCAUGGUAAGACUGUCACCUACCUGUCAGUACCCUGGGAAAAAACCAGAAAUCAAAGUUUGAGCAGUGUCAACUGAAUGCAUCACUCUGUAUAGUUGUAAGGAGGAUAAAUCAGAAUUGGACCUGUUAUUUGUCAGGGAUUAUAUCUUUGUGUUUGAUUCACAAUAUUAGUACAUGAUAUGAGGCUCUCUUUUUUCCACACGUUGCUUAAUUAUGUAGAGAUGAAGACCCUAUUUAUGAAUGAAGGUAAGAAAAAAAGGUCCAGAUAGGCUUUAACUUGUUUAAAGUUUUCAGUUUAGUGGCAGAAUCCUGGGGUUCUCACAUCUAAGGAUGUAUGGCCCUGAAUAUAAUGCCAUUGAAUCUCUCAGUAUGGACAUAGAUUUGGUGACUUCUUGGCAUGGUAGGCCCGCAUUGAAUUGGAGAGCAGUGCUUGUCUGUUGUCAAGAAGUCCUAUGCAGUUAGAAUGGAAAAAUACGGCUGUCCAAACACGGAAUUGCCAAGAUGGAUGACACCCAUAUCCUCUAGCUUAACUGGAGAAAAGGGGGAGAGAGGUGUCAGGUCUUAGGGCUGUGACUCUGUGCUUUCAUUUACGCCAUAGAUCUUUUGCUUUGUGCUCUUCACCUUCCCUUUUCAUGGAAGGGAACACUGACAAUUUCGAGGGCUAAUGUUGGGAAUGGGUUUCACUUAGCCAUUUCUCCUUAAUAAUAAAUCAUAAUAUAAUACUGAUACUCAAAGGAAUAAAUAUUACAACCCCCCACAAAAGGUGGCAUUUCAUUUCUAGUAUUUGCAUAUCUUAGAAGAGCAGUAGAGGCAUGUGGGUCCACAAACAUAGGCUUUUUGCUUCUGCGGGUUUGAACCUGAUUAGGCAGGACAUUUUCUCUGGUUAGAAUUUACUUUUUUCCUUCUCUUCUGUUUUCUCUUCCUCUGUUUCCUUUCUGGUAAUGGGAAUGUAACCCAAAUCCUGAUGCAUGCCAGAUAAGUGCUCUGCCACUGAGUCAUUUCCCCAGUGCUGCGGUGAGGAAUUUGACAUUGUUCCUCUCUCCACACUAGGCAACCAUCUCUCCAAGAGUCCAGGGGUUUGUGAUACUAGAGGCAUUGUUAGUGUUGUCCUUCACCAUCAACAUGCCAUUUGACAGGAAGGUGGCUGACAGCAUUCUUGAGAGUCCUGUUACCUCAGCUGUGUUUUGUAAUUAGAUUUUUAAAAAUAUUUUUUGGCUGCUAUCUCACAAAUAAUGACAUGAAGACUUAUUAUUCAUUUUAAAAGCUCAGCCUUAGCUUAAGCUUGUCCCAUUAGCUCUUUUAACUUAAACUAACCUGCUUUUAUUAAUCUAUGUUUUACUAUGUGACUCUUUAUCUUCUUUCAUUCUGUAUGUCCAACUCCCUCCUUGUCUUGUUGGCAUCUCCUCUGAACCUCGAUUAUUAUCUCUUCCUACUUCCUCUCUCUGCCCAGAAGUCCUGCCUAGCUAUUGGCCAUUCAGCUAUUUAUUAGACCAAUCACAGCAACACAUCUUCACACAGGGUACACAUAUCUGACAACAGUAUAUCUAGGGAUUCUUUGAAGAAGUAGAUGGUGGGCAUCAAGAACUUGGACUUGGGGGUUGCUGCUUGAUGGGUAUAGAGUUUCAGUUUUGCAAGAUGAAAACGUUAUAAAGAUUACAUGUACAUUUAACAGUUCUGAAUCUUAUACUUAAAAUGAAUAAGAUAGUAAAUUUUAUAUUGUUUAUUUUACCAUAAUUUUAAAAAAUGCACUGUGGUGAUGCAUGCCAUUAAUCUCAGCACUUGGGAAGCAGAGGCAGGUGGAUCUCUGUGAGUUCAAGGCCAGCCUGGUCUACAAAGCUAGUUUCAGGAUAGCCAAGGCUACACAACCCUGUCUCAAAAAACCUAAAUAAAUUAAUAAAAUGCAGCAAUGCAAAUGUUAUUUUUGUCAGUUAUGGUCUAGAGCCUUUUAUCAGGGCUCUGUUUUUCAGUUAUAUAUCAGGGUUCAGGAGCUGGGUGAUGUGAACCUGAGUAACUUAUUCAGCAUAUGUUUGAGUGCCUAAUGGACCCAGGAACUGUACUUGUCUUCAAGAGAUCAAUGAAAAAAAAAAGACCCUCAAACCUGUUUGAUUGAAUGUGAGGCCCUGGCCCUCUGAACACCCCUAUAUCCAAAAAGUCUGAGAUGAUUGGAAGCAUCACUCCAGCCCCUGGCCUGGGAGCUGACUUGGUCUGGACUCCAACUCCCAGCCUGCCAAGCGCUGACCCCUCCUCAGGCAGGGUCAGGACCACUCCCACAGGCUAUUUAGGCUUGUGCCAGAAAAAGGAGCAUGUGGUCUCAGGGGUUUGCAGGGCUCCUCUCCCCUCCAUGCUGCCCUUGGCCACCCGGUAGUGCAGCAUUCAUUAAACAUGGGCAUUUUUAAUUUGGUCUAAUCUGGUCUGAUUGGAGUUAUUUUGCAUUGGUGGAGAGGCCCAUUUUAAGAUUUUUCUUAACAAAUGGAGGUCUCCCACCGAAAGGGUCUGUUUUUCCUGAAGUCACAGGGCACAGGGCCGUGUGCCAGAAAACGCCCUUCCCAUGAGCUCUCUCUGCCAGGCAAGAUUGGCUUCACUCAGUAAGUUUCCUUUUUUGCUUAUGCUUGUAAGGUUUGGGGUGACCCAUUCGCUUUUUAAGUUUUCCACUAAAGUUGUGGGCCGCGCUGGAAGCCUGGCCUGUGCAGCGGAAGCCAAGGAUUUUUGCUGAGGUGAUUUUUGCUUGACCAGGGACACCUGCCAUUUAGUUUCCACAGCCGAGUUUUCGGCUCAAGAGUGGACGGGCUGUGACAGACUUGAGCUCCAUGAUUGGGUGUAGCCUUUUAAAAUGGGUUUCUUGAGAUUUUAAGCCGAUUCCUAAAAGACUCUUAAAUGACCUUUUACAAAAAAUUCUUUCAAAUUGGGGCUAUCUAACAUAAAUUAACAAUGCUCCAAAAGCGCGCGGUUUCUAGAUGCACACUCCUGUUCUCACGCCCCUCUGUUUCUCCUCCGCAGCCCAUGGUUUGUCCUGCCCCCAUUUCUCCAUAGCCCACGGGGCUCUGACUCCGUGCCCAGAGGCUCGCCGGCUCCUGUCCUGUUCUGGAUUCAGGGAUCUAAUCCUGACUCCCAACUCCCUUUCCAUCAGCCGAGGGCAACGGGGCCAUCGGUCAUCCCUUCCAAAUGGUGCUCGCCCAUCAGCUGUUUGCCAGCUAUGCUGGGAUCACUCUGGCUCCUUCCUUGGCCCAUUCUGUUUGGUGUUUGUUUCACUCUGGGCUCCUUCCCCCACCCCACUCUAGCUGUUUGCUGUUUCUCUCAUUCUGGGAUUUUAAAUGAUCCAUUUUCCCCCACGUCCUUCUACUUAUGUUUCUGUUCCCUCUUACAGCGUUUGCUAAUCUGGCCCCUAAUGGGACCACCUCUGUACUUUUCUGGCUUUUGCCGCCUACCUAUGUCAAAAAUUUUAAGUUGGUCAGCUGACACAGGUUUCCAAAAGUGUUUUACUUGUCUGUCUGUUAGAAUGAUGUGAUGCACAGUAUGUCUGUGUAAGUAUGUGAAUUUAUAUUUUUGUGUGCAUGUGUGCUUGUUUUAAGAUAAUUCCAGACUAAAACAGCUCUGGAAAAAUACAAACGGGUGUGGCCGCCAUUUAAACCUCACCGCCAUCUUUGGUAAGGGUACCCAUGUGUGCUAGUCCACCAUCUUUGAUAAGAGUACCUACAUAUGCUAGUAUUCUUUAACUUAUUAAAAUAUUCCUUUUAAUCUUCUUACAUUUACUAGCAUUGGUAAACUGUAACUAGCUGGAUAAAAUACACAACUAAAUUUAGCUUAUAUGCCCAGUUUAAAAUAACAGGUUAUGGUACCUAAUUCUCAAGUGCCUUUAAAGAUCUAAGGGUAUGGCAUUUUAACAAAAGAGCUUCUAACACAGAGACAUGCCAGCUUUUGCAGAAUCCGAUAGCUCUUUCAAUAAGGCAUAUAGUUACAGAAGACCUUCUGCCUCCAGGCCUUUCCUUUGGGUUUGGUAAACCCACCCACACAGCAAAAAGCAGCUUUUCACCUCUUCACCUUCCUGGAUGCCUUCGAGGGAAUCCAUCUUCUCAUCCUGACAAGACAGGUAGACUAAAUCUGCCCCCCACAGGAAAAAUCUUUGGGCCUCUUGUACUAAUGGCAAGCACUGCUUCUAAGGCCGGCGUUCUCCAAGGACUAAGGAGAGGAUUUGGGAUUGCCUGCGUAGCUAAAAAGCUGUCUCAUUUUUGCUCAUUUAUCCCUCCCAGAUCUGUGUAAUGGCAUUUGACGACUUAAGGUACUGUUAACUUACUACUUCAUCCAUGACAUUUAACAAAGUUUCCUGCUAAAAUACGGACAGGUGUGCCUAACAGGUUUCAGGUGUGUCUUAAAAAAAUCCAGGGUUCCCAAUUUCUUUAAUUGUCUUAACUAAAAGCAAUAGCCUUUUGCUAUGACACCAAGAUGUAAGAGAUGUCCAUUCCCUUACAGGUUCCGGGAAGAGUUCUGCUACAUUAACCCCAGUUCGUUUCAAGCAUAUUUUACAGGUCACUCCUGCUGCCUGGGCCAAGACCAACUCACAAAGUACUCUUCAGACAAUGCCAAACACCUGUAACAGCUCCUGGGACUUCACCAUUGGUACCAACUCUCCUAGAUCAAGGACACCUGCCAAUUAAAAUCUGGUUUUAUCUGCUACUGUGUCCUAUCACAUGGCUAGUCACAUUUCAUAGGGCCAAUAAUAUUUUUUUCUCCUAGCCACCUGCCUUCUCAUAUCCCUCCAAAAGCAGCUGCCGGAGGUCUCCAGGAUGACAGCAAACCAGAUGGCACUCCAGCCACACUUCUCGUUGAGUGUGAGCUCGCCAAUUCCCAGCUCUCCCCUCUCCCACAUGGCCCCAUGCCCGCAGGAAGUAGCCAGACUUGGGCCGAUGCCCCUAUAUCCAAGGACUCUGGGAUGUUUGAUUGAGAGUGAGACCUCCAGCUCUCUGACAUCUCUAUAUCCAAGAAGUCUGGGACGAUUGGAAGCAUCACUCAGCCCCUGGCCUGGGAGUUGCCUUGGUCCUGACUUCAACUUCCAGCCUGCCAAAUGCUGACCCCUUCUCAGGGAGGGUCAGAACCACUCCCACAGGGUAUUUAGGCUCAUGCUGGAAAAAGGAACACAUGGUUUCAGGUUUUACGUCUCCUCCCGCCCCCCCUUCUGUCUUUUUCUCUCUCUCUCCUUGUCAUGCUGUCUUGGCCACCUGGGAUCGCAGCAUUUAUUAAACGUGGGCAUUUUUGAUUUGGUCUAA